rnacentral:rRNA from 1 species
AUUGAACGCUGGCGGCAGGCCUAACACAUGCAAGUCGAACGAGUGGCGGACGGGUGAGUAAUGUCUGGGAAACUGCCUGAUGGAGGGGGAUAACUACUGGAAACGGUAGCUAAUACCGCAUACCAUCGGAUGUGCCCAGAUGGGAUUAGCUAGUAGGUGGGGUAAAGGCCAACCUAGGCGACGAUCCCUAGCUGGUCUGAGAGGAUGACCAGCCAAACUGGAACUGGGACACGGUCCAGACUCUGACGGGAGGCAGCAGUGGGGAAUAUUGCACAAUGGGCGAAAGCCUGAUGCAGAAAUGCGGGGUGUAUGAAGAAGGCCUUCGGGUUGUAAAGUACUUUCAGCGGGGAGGCGUUACCGGCAGAGGAAGCACCGGCUAACUCCGUGCCAGCAGCCGCGGUAAUUC